ACCCCACAAGCCCCAAAACGGAAAAGGGGGAAAGAGUUCAGGUAUGUAAUUGCUUCGAGCUGCUUGUCAGGUUUUAAUUCACUCGACACUGAUAUUUUUCAACGUCUUUGUUCUAGUGCUAUUUGAUUGUUUAUUAUAGGUUUAAAGCGACAAUUUGAUUUCUGUACUUUUCUAGUCUUUCCCACUCUGAUUGGGAACAAGUCCUCUUGUUUUUGGACGAGUUUGUCUCUGUUUAGUGUGUAGUCGUCAAAAAACUUACCUGUUAAUUUUCCUUAUAUUUAAGAUAUGAUUUACCACAUAGCUAUAUCCCUCAAGAGUGUUGGGGAAUGUUCCAUAUCAAAAAAGAAAAAAAAAUGUUGGAGAAUUUUAAUGACAUAUAUCAUGGAAGUUACCUUUCCCGAUAACAACCAAGCUUUAUUGAAAACCUGAGUGUACACAGAUAGUAUGUCCUUCAAUCUUUCCCAUGUUGAAAUUUGCCCUUAGCAGUCCCUUGCAGCUCUGAUCACGAGUGAUACACUUGCGUGCAUUGAAUUCAGAAAUAGGCAUGUUUAUGGAAACCUUACCGAAACUUUUCUGUAACCUUCAUAGACCUGUGGUGAAAAGUGAUGCACUUGAAUUAGCACCCAAGGGUGUGCCUAGCGGUCAAUGAAGUGGGUUGAGAACCAUAAGGUCUUAGGUUCAAAUUCCAGCGGAGACAAAAAGACUAGGUGGUUUCUUCGCAUCAACCCAAGCCUUACUGGACAGAGUUACUCGGUACCUAUGCUGGUGGCAGGUAGCAAGUACCCCGUGGAAUUAGUCGAGGUGCGCGCAAGCUGGCCCGAAUGCCGUGGUUAUAAAAAAAAGUAGUGUUUUUCCCCCUUAACAAACCUAGAAAUUUUUGAAAAGAUCUGGAGUCAUUUGAAUGAUUUGUCACAUUUGAAUUUCUAACACUCUCUUCUUAUCUUUUGUUUUUGGUUCCUGUAUACCUAGAGUGCUUUACAUUGUGUUAAAAGCUUAGGACGGUCUUGCUCUAUAAUCUGAGCUUAACAAUUGAGCUUCUCCUCCUGUUGUUCAAACAGUCACCCUGGGCAGCAUCAUAUUCCUGCUCCUGUAAAAAAUGAAGGUAGUAUUAUGGAACUCACAUCACCCAGACUAAAACCAGAGCAAGCUAGCAUGCCUCAUGCUGGAUAUGCACCUCAGUCGAACUGGACACCUUUAGCAAGCAGAGGGAUGCCCGAAGUUGGUACUGGAAAAGCUGAUAUGUUGGUUCCGAUUCCAUCACCUAGAGGUAAUAAUAUAUUCUCUGGUGUUGUUAAUGACAUGUGGAUGCACAGGAAAACUGAAGCAGAGCUUCAUUCUAGACCGGCAAUUGUUGCCUGCAAUCCUGCACCUCCUCAAUUGCCUACUAGACCACUACAGCCUAUUCAAGGACCUCCUACCGUGCCGCCGCCAGUUCAAGCACUUCCUCCUGCAGCAGCACAGCCAAUUCAAGGACCUCCUAUUGCACCACCACAGCAAGCACAACCGCCGCCCUUUGGGCUCCCAAUGUACUUCCCCCCAACUGGGUGGGAUUCACGUGGUCUGAACCAUAACUUGCCUCCAAAUCCAAUUCCAUCUGGUGCACUUCCUACUAAUCUCCACCAUUGUUCAGUUGCACCACCAUUUGUACCUGCUUCUGUGACUCCACUGUCACAGAUGCAAGGCACCUCCAUGCCACCAUUUGAUCAUAUGUUUCCCGUGCCUGUUGUUCGACCACCAGUUACGUCUUUACCACCACCACCUCCUCAGCUCGACUCAUUACCCCCAUUACCUCCACCUGUCUUGCAGCCUCCAUUACCUUCAUCCCCGCCUCCACCACCUUAUCCUGACCCACCUAAUAUUCCUCCUCCACCUAGUUCCCCGCCUCCCCCGCCACCUCCAUUAUCGGAAUCUUUGAAUUUGGUUAGUUCUGAACCAUACUUGCAGUAUCAGUGGCGGGGCUCCUUGAGUAAAAGUGGAGUUCAUUACUGUACGAUUUAUGCACAAAGAGUAGAGUCGGAUGUUUGCAGGUAUUCAAAUGCCAAUGCUGAGCCCACAGAAUGGCCUGCUAAGUUGGAUAUGACCAAACGCACUGAUUUUCGGCAUGUCAAAUCAACAUUUUGUAGUACACCACCCCACAAAAAGGAGAUAUGCUGGUUGCUACCUUCUUCUCCAAUAGAUCACAAGGGCUUUCAUGAUUUUAUAUCAUACCUGAAGCAGAGGGAAUGUGCUGGUGUAAUUAAAAUUCCAGCCAUAAAAUCAAUGUGGGCAAGGCUUCUCUUCAUCCUUCCACAGUCAUCUGAUACCUGCUCUAUGCUCUCAGUUGUGCCUAAUCCAUCUCUUUGUCUAAUUGGUCUGGUGUUGCCUAAAGAAACAAACUUUGAAUGGGUGUGAUGUUAGUAUAUGUGGGCAAUACCGCAUCGGGAAAAGGAUGGACGUGCUGCUAAUUGCCAAAUGCCUCUGCUCGCCAGGUUUUCUUCAGCUUUUUCCAUGAUUUUCGUAAUGGCAUUUUUCAGAGCUUUGGUGAACGCCCAUGGAUCACAAAGAUAUUCCCGAUGGGCAUUCAGUUCUGAUUUGCAGUUGCAGCAAUGUUGAACGGACCGAUAGUGAUUUGCUCGCAAGUAUCAAUCUGAUAUACAAUAUCGGGCAAUAGAUCAACUCCUCAUUCUGUUGAACCGCUGUCAUCUAGUGUGAGAUAGUUACUGGGAAGUUAAUGUAAUUUUAAUUUAAAUUGUAGGUAACUCACAAAUCAUUUCAUUGAUAUUGCACCAAGUUGGUGCCAACUCAAUGUUAAGUAAUACCGUAGUAGCGAUGAAGUUGGAGGAAAGCAUCAGGAAAGAAUUGAGUGUCUUAUUUGUAGGAGUCUUCUGUACUUAGAAUCUGCUAAGCCUUUUCUUCUUUCUUUCUUAUCUCCGUUUAUAGUGGAGCGACAUUUUUUGAUGUCCAUGUAAGCAUAGUAGAAUAUGAUUGUAUGUAAAGUGUGAAGAAAAAUUAGCUACACGAAUGUUAACUAUUUGGUGCUGGCUUCGCUAUGGAUGGACUGCUGGUAUGUAGCUCGACGUUCUAAUUUUUGAUAGUA